GCUUGCUUUACAAACCCAUACGCUAAAGUUUAAUGAUACAAAGAAGAUUAACAUGGCCCCUGCACAAGGGUGAUGCGGACUUGUGAAAUGUUCCCAAGUUUU